GACAACUCUAGAGAUAGAGCGUUCCCCUUCGGGGGACAGAGUGACAGGUGGUGCAUGGUUGUCGUCAGCUCGUGUCGUGAGAUGUUGGGUUAAGUCCCGCAACGAGCGCAACCCUUGAUCUUAGUUGCCAGCAUUUAGUUGGGCACUCUAAGGUGACUGCCGGUGACAAACCGGAGGAAGGUGGGGAUGACGUCAAAUCAUCAUGCCCCUUAUGACCUGGGCUACACACGUGCUACAAUGGAUGGUACAAAGGGCUGCAAGACCGCGAGGUCAAGCCAAUCCCAUAAAACCAUUCUCAGUUCGGAUUGUAGGCUGCAACUCGCCUACAUGAAGCUGGAAUCGCUAGUAAUCGCGGAUCAGCAUGCCGCGGUGAAUACGUUCCCGGGCCUUGUACACACCGCCCGUCACACCACGAGAGUUUGUACUCCCGAAGUCGGUGGAAGUAAACCCCGUAAAAAG
rnacentral:rRNA from 1 species